rnacentral:tRNA from 1 species
UGCUGUAUAGUGUAAACGGCAGCACGUGUGACUUUGAAUCACAAGGUAACAGUUCGAGUCUGUUUACAGCUGUCAA